UGCAGAAGGCAGAGCUCUAUGGAGGUGGCAGUCCAGAUUGCCUGGAAGAAGGGACCCUGUGCUGCAAGCAACACAAGAUAAACGGGUCUAAAAGAGGCACAGCACAGACGCUUCUUGCAUCAAGGUGCUAUACAGUCAUGGACUGGGAGAAGAAAAUGAUGGUGGUUAGACCCAUGACCAUACCGACGGGCUCAGAAGCCAUCCGAGACUGACUCAAUGAUCCGUUUCUUAGCCCUCCAUAGCAACAGGUACCUCAGCUAAAAAAUGCUCUGGAAGAGAAAUGAAAACACUGCCAAAAUAAGGACUCUGCUCCCAGUUCUACAAAGGCCUGACUUCACAUUCAAUGAGCUUUAGUUAAAGCACCCCUGCCACCAUUUUGAAGCAUGGGGACUCUGAAUACAGGAGACAUGGAGGCUGCUGCAGUAUGCUAAUUAGCACGCUCCAGCCAACUCAGUCAAGUCUGCUCUGAUGCACUGUAAUUACACCAUGUCAGAGCAGUGUCCCCACAUACCUACAGACACCCAGAAAUUCUUAAGUAAAUGUAUAUCAGCUCAGGGGUGUAGGAAGGCACAAUUUCUCCAGUGCAAACCAAGGGCCAGACUACAAAUACCUGAAUAGUACUUUGUCACGAAAAUCUCUUUGCAAGAAGAACACAGUCUAGCCCUACAUGAAAUAUGUAUUAUCGGUAGCUGCUAAUGGAGUAAAAUACAAUGAAGAAGCCGAGGCCACUGAUAAGACAUGAGGUCAAACAAGCAGUGUAGAGCUAUGCGGAUCUUUGAAGGAAGUACAUUGGCAUGCUAGAGAUGUCUGUGACAUGAUAUGACUGUGAAAGGAUCCAAAGAGGGAAAUGAGAUGGUGUUCCAUCCUCCUAAGAGGCAAAUGUGAAGAAACGCCCUUCCCCUCUCUCUGCCCCUCACUUGGGCCAACCCGGGUGACCCCUCUAUCUCCUGGUUUUCUUCUUGUUACUGGUUAAUCAACCAGGAGACUUGGCCAGAUAAAUUCCUAGGGGAAGUGGGGGGAGCACUCUCUUCGGCAGGCAUUUUGAAACUUUCAAGCAAAGACUGCAGGCUGCUGCCUGGAGAUUCACUGACAGUAAAAAACCCUGAAACUAGCCGGGAGUUAGGAAUUAUGUGUAGGCCAGUCACACCUUAAAAGGAUCACUGUGUCCAAAACUAUAUAAGACUCUAGUUCCUUAUGUUUGCUCAAAGUGUAUUCUGACUUCCUAAUACUAUGCCCCCAUCCUUCCUCCUCCUGAUCAAUAAAGGUAUUGACUUACA